rnacentral:rRNA from 1 species
UACAGAGGGUGCAAGCGUUAAUCGGAAUUACUGGGCGUAAAGCGUGCGUAGACGGUUACAUAAGUCGGGUGUGAAAGCCCCGGGCUCAACCUGGGAAUUGCAUUCGAGACUGCGUAGCUAGGGUGCGGAAGAGGGAAGCGGAAUUUCCGGUGUAGCGGUGAAAUGCGUAGAUAUCGGAAGGAACACCAGUGGCGAAGGCGGCUCACUGGCCCGGAACUGACGCUGAGGUGCGAAAGCGUGGGGAGCAAACAGG